rnacentral:rRNA from 1 species
AUACCAGCACCCCGAGUGGUCGGGACGUUUAUUGGGCCUAAAGCAUCCGUAGCCGGUUCCACAAGUCUUCCGUUAAAUCCACCUGCUCAACAGAUGGGCUGCGGAAGAUACUAUGGAGCUAGGAGGCGGGAGAGGCAAGCGGUACUCGAUGGGUAGGGGUAAAAUCCGUUGAUCCAUUGAAGACCACCAGUGGCGAAGGCGGCUUGCCAGAACGCGCUCGACGGUGAGGGAUGAAAGCUGGGGGAGCAAACCGGAUUAGAUACCCGGGUAGUCCCAGCUGUAAACGAUGCAGACUCGGUGAUGAGUUGGCUUUAUGCCAACUCAGUGCCGCAGGGAAGCCGUUAAGUUUGCCGCCUGGGGAGUACGGUCGCAAGACUGAAACUUAAAGGAAUUGACGGGG